GACUAUAUGGUACCUGAAAUAACUUUCUAAUUAGUUAGACAAAAGUUCCUUUCUUUGGAUAAAUUUAUGCAAUCAGGCACAUUGAUUUGACACACUUUUAUAUCACUGUCCAGUUUUGCUAGAUCAAAAUUAGACAUCAACAAUCAGAAUAUGCAAUCAGCCUGUGAACCACAAAUGAAGCUAAACACUCAAAGAUCCACUUCGGAUCUUCAGUUAAAGACUUUAAUUACCACGCUUCUGAUCUUUGAUUGAACAUCAGAAGAAAGACUGCAAUACAAUUACAGUGCAGGAAACAAUGUCGCACAUGAAUGUUAUACUUCUUCAAAUAUAGCAGAAUGGUUCUACGUUUUGUAAGAGUGUAAUAAUUACCAUAUGAGACAUCAGUCACUUUUACUUUCUUCGUUAGCCCAAAUUUUCACCCACUUGUUGUUAAAGGACUUAAUAAUUAGAACACU
rnacentral:lncRNA from 1 species